AGCAGCCGCGGUAAUUCCAGCUCCAAUAGCGUAUAUUAAAGUUGCUGCAGUUAAAAAGCUCGUAGUUGAAUUUCGGGACCAAUAUGUCGGUCGUGCUUAGGUACGUACUGGCAUCGUUGGUUCCUCCUUUCUGAAGAACCAUGAUGUCAUUUAUUUGGUGUCGUGGGGAAUCAGGACUGUUACUUUGAAAAAAUUAGAGUGUUUAAAGCAGGCUCACGCUUGAAUACAUUAGCAUGGAAUAAUGAAAUAGGACGUUUGAUUCUAUUUUGUUGGUUUCUAGGAUCGACGUAAUGAUUAAUAGGGAUAGUUGGGGGCAUUAGUAUUCAAUUGUCAGAGGUGAAAUUCUUGGAUUUAUUGAAGACUAACUACUGCGAAAGCAUUUGCCAAGGAUGUUUUCAUUAAUCAAGAACGAAAGUUAGGGGAUCGAAGACGAUCAGAUACCGUCGUAGU
rnacentral:rRNA from 1 species